UAAAUUAGUUUCAUCACUUUAUACAUUCAUAUUGAGAUUCCACUCUUGACUCCAUUUUCCUGAUGAAGUGCGAUUGGAGGAGAGUCAUUUCAUACAAGCGCAUUUCCAUCCACUUUCCCUCCACUAACCAGGUUUCCAUCCACUUUCCCUCCACUAACCAGGUUUCCAUCCACUUUCCCUCCACUAACCAGGUUUCCAUCCACUUUCCCUCCACUAACCAGGUUUCCAUCCACUUUCCCUCCACUAACCAGGUUUCCAUCCACUUUCCCUCCACUAACCAGGUUUCCAUCCACUUUCCCUCCACUAACCAGGUUUCCAUCCACUUCCCCUCCACUAACCAGGUUUCCAUCCACUUCCCCUCCACUAACCAGGUUUCCAUCCACUUCCCCUCCACUAACCAGGUUUCCAUCCACUUCCCCUCCACUAACCAGGUUUCCAUCCACUUCCCCUCCACUAACCAGGUUUCCAUCCACUUUCCCUCCACUAACCAGGUUUCCAUCCACUUCCCCUCCAC